rnacentral:tRNA from 1 species
AAAGGGAGACCUAAUUCCGGUAGGAGACGAAAAAAAAGUAGUCCCUACCAAGAAUCAAUCCCAAAAGGUCGGAACGAGGUAUGAGGCUUUCAAACUAGGUUCUGGGUUCAUAAAAGACCUGAAUCAGGAACAAGGGCUAUUAGCUCAGGUGGUUAGAGCGCACCCCUGAUAAGGGUGAGGUCCCUGGUUCGAGUCCAGGAUGGCCCACCUGCACAGGUGGCAAAAACAAAAGAAGCGAGGAAUCAGCGCCUUAUCUUAUAUACAUAUAUAAGAGAGAAUGCUGGCUCUGAGUACAGAGUCCAGAGGAACCUUGAAAACUGCAUAGAGCUAGGUGAAAAAGCCAAAAAAGAAGACCGCAAG